AUGUUGCUUGAUGCUACCGGGGAGAGAAGAAGAAAUACUCUUUGAUGAAAUUGAUGUUCACAUGACAUAUGGAUUGCCAAUGGGAGAUAUAGCAAUUCUUGACACAAUAGAAAACAAGAAUGAAUGUGCAAAUUUUAUGCAAAAAUGGAGAAAAAAACUUUAACCUUAAAGUGGUAUCCUUUUUUGAUCGGGUACAAAGGAAGGGGUUAGAGAUACCACGUCAAGUUCCAUUAAUACCAUUGUGGAACCAAGAAAGGUUCCAUACAAGAUUGAAGUUUGAGAAAGACCUUGGAUUUGGAAAAGGAAAAGUACUAGAAAGAAUGAAAUUGAAUGUGGGAUUGGAAAAAAAGGCAAGAGAAUGACAAAGGCAAGAAGAAAGAGCAACCCUUGACAAUUAGAGAAAAACAAGGGGAGAAGAAAGUAAUAAAAAAGCAAGGGAAAGACAAAGGAAAAGAGAAAGU